AGCCGGGGCGUUAGCGGUGCCCUGUACCUGCAGUCCGCUACAGCAGGGGUGAUGGGUGACCUAGGGUAAUUUGAGUAGGGCAGCCCUUUAUAAGCGAUGUUGAAGUUUGGGUCUUAUGCAAUGAGAAUUUGUGAACCGUGUCAGGUCAGGAAUGAAGCAGCACUAAGCAAAACCUCUCAUGUGACAUAAGGAAGCCUGAGCCGAGUUGGCUGUAAAGGUAACGCUUAGGAU
rnacentral:SRP_RNA from 1 species